GGCUGGUCCAAUAGUAGUGGGUUAUCAGAACUUGUUAAUAUUAGUAUCAUUAAGUUGAUACGCAACCUCCAACUGGCAAAUUUGACUGGCUUAAA
ensembl:misc_RNA Y_RNA Y RNA